UCUCCUGGAAAACGGGUGGUAAUGCCGGAUGCUCCAUCACACCGCAUGGUGUGUUGGGAAAGCCUUUGCGGCAUGGGAUGGGGUCGCGUCCUAUCAGCUUGAUGGCGGGGUAACGGCCCACCAUGGCUUCGACGGGUAGCCGGCCUGAGAGGGCGACCGGCCACAUUGGGACUGAGAUACGGCCCAGACUCCUACGGGAGGCAGCAGUGGGGAAUAUUGCACAAUGGGCGCAAGCCUGAUGCAGCGACGCCGCGUGAGGGAUGGAGGCCUUCGGGUUGUAAACCUCUUUUGUUAGGGAGCAAGGCACUUUGUGUUGAGUGUACCUUUCGAAUAAGCACCGGCUAACUACGUGCCAGCAGCCGCGGUAAUACGUAGGGUGCAAGCGUUAUCCGGAAUUAUUGGGCGUAAAGGGCUCGUAGGCGGUUCGUCGCGUCCGGUGUGAAAGUCCAUCGCUUAACGGUGGAUCCGCGCCGGGUACGGGCGGGCUUGAGUGCGGUAGGGGAGACUGGAAUUCCCGGUGUAACGGUGGAAUGUGUAGAUAUCGG
rnacentral:rRNA from 1 species